AUGUUGAGCCCAGCACAUGUUUGGGCCGGUUCCGUCCUCAUGGCCCCUCGCCGACUAGCCGGUCGUCACACUAUCGUCCUCCCUGCGGCGGCGGUAUACCACUCCGGCCUAACCUCUCGCUGGCGCCAUCAGCAAGCAAACUCAUCUCGCCUCUCCCUCACCCGCACCGCCGAGCAUACCUCCAGCACCAGCCUUUCUUCCACAAAUGCAUGCCACCUCGCCGCCUUCUGUGGUCGUCGGCGUCCACCUCCACACCACUGGAUUUGCGUGAGGUCUCGAAAGAUUUCUUCUUCUCAUGCAUAUGUAAGACAAAAGGCAAACCAGGGAUACAAGGAACGGAAGGAUGUAAUAAGGAAGCAGCUCAACAAUCCCGAAUUAUCUCUAUCUUCGUAUGACACUGCAUGGAUGGCUUUGGUGCCAUUGCCUCGUUCUCCUUCGUCUCCAUGCUUCCCUGGGUGUGUGGAAUGGAUAUUGCAAAAUCAACAUGAUAAUGGAUCUUGGGGUAUCCAUGAAGCCGACUCUUCAGCCAAAAAGGAUCUUCUCUUGUCCACAUUGGCUUGUGUUGUUGCACUUAAAAAAUGGAACAUUGGCCUCGAGCACAUAAGGAGAGGACUGAGUUUCAUUGAAAGAAAUAUCUCCAUUGCCAUGAAUAAGAUUGAUACUCCUAUAGGAUUUGACAUAAUAUUUCCUAGUUUGCUUAGCACUGCCAUUGGGAUUGGUCUAGAAUUGACUAUUCCACAGACUGAUGUUGAUGGGAUUCUUCACCUCAGAGAGGAGGAAUUAAAACGACUUGCUGGAGAUAAAUCUUGCGGGAAAGAUGCAUAUAUGGCUUACAUAGCCGAAGGGUUAGGAAAUCAAUUAGACUGGAAUGAAACAAUGAAGUUCCAGAGAAAGAACGGAUCAUUCUUCGACUCUCCUUCGACAACUGCUGCUUCCGUGAUUUUCAAUUACGAUGAAAAGGCUCUCCAAUAUCUAGAUUUACUUGUCAGCCAUUUUGGAAGUGCAGUUCCAACAGUUUACCCGAUAAAUAUACAAUUUCAGCUCUCAUUGGUUGAUUCUCUUCAAAAAGUUGGAAUAUAUAAGCAGUUUUCUAGUGAGAUAAAUGACAUUCUAGAUAUGACAUACAGUUUGUGGUUGCAAAGAGAUGAGAAAAUCGUGCUAGACAUCACAACAUGUGCAAUGGCAUUUCGCCUUUUACGGAUGAAUGGAUACGAUGUCUCCUCAGAUGGCAUGUCCCAUGUUGCGGAACUCUCCAGUUUCACUAGUUCACUAAAAGGAUAUUUGAAUGAUACAAAAUGCAUACUUGAAUUGUACAAGGCUUCAAAACUAUGUUUGUCAGAAGAUGACGUGAUAUUGGACAAUAUAGCCAUCUGGUCUGCCAGCUUAUUGAAGGAAAAGUUGUGCUCUAAUGAGGUGCAAAGAGAGCCAAUUUUUGUGGAGGUGGUUCAUGCUCUUGAAUUUCCCUUUUAUGCCACAUUGGAACGUCUAGACCACAGGUGCAAUAUCGAAAAUUUUGAUGCUAGGAGUGCUCAGAUGCAAAAGACGGAAUACUUGCCAUAUGGUGUAUUCCAAGAUAUUUUGGCUUUGGCUGUUGAAGAUUUCACUACUUGUCAAUCUAUUUAUCAGGAUGAGCUCCUUCAUCUUGACAGUUGGGUCAAAGAGCACGGGCUGGACCAGCUAAAAUUUGCACGACAGAAGCUGCCAUAUAUCUAUCUCUCGGCUGCGGCUAACAUAUGCGAGCCAGAAUUGUCAGAUGCCCGCAGUUCAUUGACCAAAAAUGCAGUACUUACCACCGUUGUUGAUGACUUUUUUGAUGUUGGGGGAUCAAUUGAAGAACUGGGAAACCUCAUAUCAUUGGUUGAGAAGUGGGAUGGGCACAACGAAGAAGAUUUCUACUCAGAGGAAGUAAAAAUAGUAUUUUCUGCUCUAUAUUCAACUGUCAACCAGCUUGGGGCAAUGGCUUCCACACUGCAAAAUCGGGAUGUUAGAGAACACAUGAUAGACGCAUGGUUACAUGCAAUGAGGGGUACGAUGACCGAGGCAGUAUGGCAGAGGAGCCAAUAUGUGCCAACAAUUGAAGAGUACAUGAAAAAUGCAGUUCCUUCUUAUCUUAUGGGCCCCAUUCUGUUCCCAACAUUAUAUUUUUUGCGAGAAAAUCUCAAGGCUACUGUUGUCAAAGAUCACGAAUACAAUGAGUUAUAUCGGCUAAUGAGCACUUGUGGCCGUCUCCUGAAUGACAGUCAAAGUUUUGAGAGGGAGGGCAGCGAAGGCAAACUGAACAUAGUCCAUCUGCUUAUUCUUCACAGUGGUGGUUCUAUGUCUAUAGAAGACGCCCUAGGUGUGGUGCACAAGUCCAUAGAUACUUGCAGGAAAGAUCUGCAAAAAUUGGUUUUUAGGAAAGGAAGCGUCGUUCCGAGAACAUUCAAAAAGCGGUUCUGGAACAUAUGCCAGACUAACUUCGUGUACUACCGCGAGACAGAUGGAUUUAGCUCGCCAACUUCAUUGAACAGCCUAGUGAAUGCAGUUAUCAAUGAGCCUCUCAAAGUACCAAAUUAG
rnacentral:rRNA from 1 species